CCCUUAGAUGUCCUGGGCCGCACGCGCGUUACACUGAUGCAUUCAACGAGCUUAUAACCUUGGCCGAGAGGCCUGGGCAAUCUUGUUAACGUGCAUCGUGAUAGGGAUAGAUUAUUGAAAUUAUUAAUCUUGAACGAGGAAUUCCUAGUAAACGCAGAUCAUCAAUCUGCAUUGAUUACGUCCCUGCCCUUUGUACACACCGCCCGUCGCACCUACCGAUUGGGUGGUCCGGUGAAGCCUCGGGAUUGUGGUUCUUGCCGCUUUAUUGUAGCGUGACCGCGAGAACUUGUCUAAACCUUAUCAUCUAGAGGAAGGUGAAGUCGUAACA
rnacentral:rRNA from 1 species